rnacentral:rRNA from 1 species
UACGGGAGGCAGCAGUGGGGAAUAUUGCACAAUGGGCGCAAGCCUGAUGCAGCCAUGCCGCGUGUAUGAAAAAGGCCUUCGGGUUGUAAAGUACUUUCAGUCGUGAGGAAGGUGUUAAGGUUAAUAACCUUAGCAAUUGACGUUAGCGACAGAAGAAGCACCGGCUAACUCCGUGCCAGCAGCCGCGGUAAUACGGAGGGUGCGAGCGUUAAUCGGAAUUACUGGGCGUAAAGGGCACGCAGGCGGUUAAUUAAGUUGGAUGUGAAAUCCCCGGGCUUAACCUGGGAAUGGCAUUCAAGACUGGUUAGCUAGAGUCUUGUAGAGGGGGUAGAAUUCCAUGGUGUAGCGGUGAAAUGCGUAGAGAUGUGGAGGAAUACCGGUGGCGAAGGCGGCCCCUGGACAAAGACCUGACGCUCAUGUGCGAAAGCGUGGGGAGCAAACGAGGGAUUAGAUACC